UGCUGUGUGUUGCAUUGUCCUCCAGCCAAUCAGCUCUGAGCUCUGCAGCCCCUUCACCCUCCUCCUCUUCCUCAGCAGGCCGCUGCUGCUUCUCUGGCUCAUAAGUAUCACAUCGGUCAGCUGUGUUUGCAAUUACAACAGCUGCUCACAAAGUGAAUAAAAAUCUUCAGCUGCUAUCCGUCCUGCACCAACCAACAUGUCUGUUGAGGUUCCCUGGAGUUUAACCAAGAGAGAAGAUCGACUCUGGACCAGGAGGAGUUGGAACCUCUGCAGGGAAAACAAGACCAGGAAGAGAAAGAAGAUCAUCAGAUAAAAGUGGAAGAGAAAGAAGUUUACUGCAGUCAGGGUGAAGAACCUGCAUGUUGGUUCCUGUUGAUGAGCAAACACACCAAACUGAAUCAGAACCAAACAGUGACCAAGUCCUCUUAAAAGAAGCUGCUGAAUCUGAGAAUCAAAAUCAGGAAAGAAGAAAACCUUUCUCAUGUGUCAUCUGCAAAAAGUAUUUCGCUUUAAAAUCAGUUUUUGAUGCUCA